rnacentral:ncRNA from 1 species
GAACGCCGUAUGAGGGGAAACUCUCAUGUACGGUGUGAGGUGGGGGAAAACUUGGAGAUUACAUCAAAAAGUUACCUAUCACCAU